UUAUUUUGUUUGCAACGAAAAAACACAAAAGAGAAUGAAAAAAAAAAAAAAAAUCAUGAUCAUUUUUCACAAAACUCCAAAAAUGGGCCGGGCAAAAGUAUUGGCACACUCAGCCUAAUAUUUGGUGGCACAACUUUUAAACAAAAUAAGCUCGAACAACCACUUCCGGUAUCCAUCAAAUGAGUUUCCUACAAUGCUCUGCUGGAAUUUCAGACCACUUUUCUUUGGCCAACUGCUCCGGUUCUCUGAGAUUUGAAGGGUGCCAUUUUCAGAUCUCUCCACAGGUGUUCUAUGGGAUUCAGGUCUGGACUCAUUGCUGGCCACUUUAGAAGUCUCCAGUGCUUUCUUUCAAACCAUUUUCCCGUGUUUUUUUAAGUGUGUUUUGGGUCAUUGUCCUUUUGGAAGACCCAUGGCCUCUGAGGGAGACCCAGCAUUCUCACACUGCGCCCUACAUUAUGCUGCAAAAUUUGUUGGUAGUCUUCAGACUUCAUAAUGCCAUGCACACGGUCAAGUAGUCCAGUGCCAGAGGUAGCAGAGCAACCCCAAAACAUCAGGGAACCUCUGCCAUGUUUGACUGUGGGGGCCGUGUUCUUUUCUUUGAAGGCCUCGUUUUUUUUCCUGUAAACUCUGUUGAUGGCUUUUCCCUAAAAGCUCUACUUUUGUCUUUCAAAACGUUUUUGGCUUUCUCAGGUAUGUUUUGGCAAACUCCAGCCUGGCUUUUUUAUGUCUCUGGGUCGGAAGUGGGGUCUUCCCGGGUAUCCUACUAUAGUCCCUUUUCAUUCAGACGCCGACGGAUAGUACGGGUUGGCACUGUUGUACCCUCGGACUGCGGGACAGCUUGAACUUGUUUGGAUGUUAGCCGAGGUUCUUUAUCCACCAUCCGCACAAUGUUUCAGUGAAAUCUCUCGUCAAUUUUUCUUUUCCGUCCACAUCUAGGGAGGUUAACCAAAGUGCCAUGGACUUUACAUUUAUUGAUAACUCUGCGCAUGGUAGACACAGGAACAUUCAGGUCUAUGAGAUGGACUUGUAGCCUUGAGAUUGCCCAUGCUUCCUCACAAUUUAGCUUCUCAAGUCCUCAGACAGUUCUUUAGUCUUCUUUCUUUUCUCAAUGCUCAAUGUGGUACACACAAGGACAAAGGACAGAGGUUGAGUCAACUUAAAUCCAUUUUAACUGGCUGCAAGUUUGGUUUUGUUAUUGCCACCACCUGUUAUGUGCCACAGGUAAGUAACAGGUGCUGUUAAUUAACCAAAUUAGAGAAGCAUCACAAGAUUUUUCAAAGGGUGCCAAUACUUUUUGGAGUUUUGUGUAAAAUGAUAAUGAUUUUUUUUUUUUUUCCAUUAUCUUUUGUGUUUUUCAUUGCAAGCAAAAUAAAUGAAGAUAUUACUACCAAAGCAUUUGUAAUUGCAAUCAUUUUCUGGGUAGAAAUUGAGCAUUAUCUGACAGAAUUUCAGAGGUGCCAAUACUUUUGGCCAGCAGUGUAUGUUAUCAUUAGAACAUUAAAGAAUAGCUUGAAACAUAAAUUAAAUAUUAAUGAUAUAAAUACCAUACAUAAAACAAUGUGUAAAUAAUACAUACUGUACAUUAUUUCUCUCUCAAACGUGUGUGGAGAUGUUUGCGAUCAGUUUUGGGGAGAAAUUAAGCAUUAUUUGACAGAAUUGCAAGGGUGCCAAUAGUUUUGGCCAGCACUGUACGCACAAAUCUGUCAUGUGCACGUGCAAAACCUCUCGGAUGAGUUAGGUUUUUCAGUGAGGCAUUUUUCCAUGAGACUUUUUUUGUACUUCUACCAGAGGUUGCGCUAGACUUUUUCGUUGUCUGUCAUUUUGACUGACAGUGUCAUAAAAAUCCGGUCAUAAUCUAUUUUUACCCGUCACUUACAUUUUUAAAAUGAUAAUAAUGACAUAUUCAAUAGUAUUUAGUUUUCAUUCAUUUUUUAUUAAUAUUCUGUCCGAACAAGCUUAACAAGAGGCAAACAGACAGCGGAGUGCACCAAUCAGCGACGGGCAGACGUGGCGUUAGCAAAGUGACGAGGGCAGGACGAGGGACUUGCGCGCGGAAGUAAACAUACGAGGAGAACGGAGUUUAUUCAACAUGGCUAGCGCGAGACAGACUGUUGUCAAUGUCUCGUGUCGAUGUGUUUUAGCUCAUUUAAAACUGAAUUUACCGCGGAUUGGAACAUAUUUUCGGCUCUCCCGUUCGCCAUCCGUGUUGUUGUAGAGACGACUUUCGGCGCGCAAGAGUGACGUUGCUAGACAGCUAGUGAACGACGCCUUAGUAAUCAGACUUCUUCCUUUUUCAUCUGAUUUAUUAAUAAAAUGGCCUCAAACCACUGUCCUCUUUAGACCGUAGUGAAACUACAAAAAAAAAAGUACACAAGCAUUGCAUUAGCAACAACGUUAGCUUAGCACGCUAUACAGGUUCACUAAACAUAAACAAAAAGCGUCUCAUACAAAAAAUAUAACAUUUCGCUUACUAACAUAAUAUGUACAUUCUUUACAACAACCAUACUUACGGACAAAUCUUGUCCAAGGAUCAUAUAAGCACAACAUUACAACGUAGGCGUCAGCCUGAGACGUCGUGCAGCCAUAUUGAACUGGCAAGAAAGCAAUAAACCAUGUCGCAAAGCGACCACAAGAGUUCGCUGUUAGACAGCACAAAAAACCUUGCUGUAAAACUUACCAAAAGGCAGAAUACUGUCUGAGCGGGAUAUGUGCGUCAAUUGCGUCAAAUAUUUUAACGUGAUUAAUUUAAAAAAUUAAUUACCGCACGUUAACGCGAUAAUUUUGACAGCCCUAGUAUGUACAUAUCAGAGGUUGCGCUAGACUUUUUCGUUGUCUGUCAUUUUGACUGACAGUGUCAUAAAAAUCCGGUCAUAAUCUAUUUUUACCCGUCACUUACAUUUUUAAAAUGAUAAUAAUGACAUAUUCAAUAGUAUUCAGUUUUCAUUCAUUUUUAAUUAAUAUUAUGUCCGAACAAGCUUAACAAGAGGCAAACAGACAGCGGAGUGCACCAAUCAGCGACGGGCAGACGUGCCGUUAGCAAAGCGACAAGGGCAGGAUGUGGGACUUGCGCGCAGAAGUAAACAUAUGAGGACAGCGGAGUUUAUUCAACAUGGCUAGCGCGAGACAGACUGUUGUCAAUGACUCGUGUCGAUGUGUUUUAGCUCAUUUAAAACUGAAUUUACCGCGGAUUGAAACAUAUUCUCGGCUCUCCCGUUCGCCAUCCGUGUUCUUGUCGAGACGACUUUCGGUGCGCAGGAGUGACGUUGCCCGUGAAGAACACGUCACGCAAAUAAACAAAUCUGAUUUGUCGAUUGAUUUUGUACCUACUCGAGAGGCUGUGUCCCAGACUUUUCUCACAGUGUUUGAAAAAUACAGGGAGAACAGUCUGGCCGUGCCAGGCAAACACUCAGUUGCAAUGACAUUUUUCCGAGUAAGGCCAAUGACGUCAUGCAUCAAGAGAGACAAUAGCUAAUUAAUAUGCUCACUCGCCACCCUGUGGUCUGGGGUGUGAAUUGCAACCUGUCAAAAUGACGGAUGGACUUCAGUUUUUUCCGUCACCGUUUUAAAAAACCGGUCAACGACGGAAAAUAUUCGGUUAACGCGACCCCUGACUUCUACCCAUGUUGGCCACGUAGCCAAAAUGACCGUUGGCAGCUGAUUUUCCUUAAGAGUGCUUGCUGUCGUUAGGUCAGUCCAGUCUUUUUUACAUCCCACCAGUGUUGUUUUCGUCAACAAUGACGAUAACGCAAAUAUUUCGUCAAGCAACGUUUUUUUCCUAACGAUGACGAAACCAUAACGAACUAAAAUCAUGUUUCAGGAGACUAUAACAUCAUGGGCCUAAUGCCAGUUUUCGUCUGAUGAGAUGAGAAUGAGACGAAAAUGACGAAAAAGACGAAAAUUUUAUGUGUAGUUAGCCUACAUCGUAGCAUUAUCUGGUGUCACUCAUGUGAUGGGCUGCACUUUAAUUUCACAAGAUCAAUAUUUGUAUUUAAAAAUAAACUACCUGAGCUUAGUCACAAACGAUAUAAAACAUGAAUCAAUAAAUUACGAUAUAAGUACAACAAAAGAUCAAUUUGCUAACUUGUUGGGUCACCUGGACGAGGGUAUAUGGUGUUGAAAGACCUGAAACACCCGAUGAUUCCAGGAACAUCACUGAACAUGUGUUCAAAUGCAUCAGUAGAUGUAUGUACACAGCAUAGCAAAAGUGUGUUAGCUUAAAUGCUAUAAAAUGCUAACUUUUUUUUAAAACUGCUUUUAACAAAUUAUUCACACACAAAACUGCAAAAUAUACUUCUAACCUAAAUCACGAAUGCAUAAACAAACCUCAAGCUCAAACAAAAACAUACCUUAUGUUGAUCCUAACAGGGAUCAGCUAAAUUCAGCAACGUUAGUUAUGGACUAUUCACUGUUGCCACUAGAGGGAAGUGUAUCCACCUAAAUCAAUACAACUAAAUGUAACACUUCCAAAAUAAACCAUUUCAACAUCUCUCUAAUGAAACGAAUCCUGGAAGCAGCAACAUUUGAUUCGAAGCUUUUUUGUAAUGGAAUUACUCGAGUUAAUCGAUUAAUCGUUGCAGCACUAAAUAGGAUAACUGUUAUGUUCACUGUUUGGGUGAUGAUCUUUCCUAUGAAUAUAUUGGCGGAACAAUACAUCAGGCCAACGUUUUGAUCGGUCAAUAUCAGCUGGUAUGAUUAGAUACUGUUGCGUUGAGUGUUUGGGUGAAGGGCUUUGGUAAUUGUUCAUUUUCACCACCUAGUGAUCAGCAUUACAUAAAAGAAGUAGCAGAAUAAAAAUUGAACUUCGAAUAUGUACAUUUACAAGUUUUUCACUUGCCUUUUAUAAUCAAUGCACUUUAAAUAAAAGUAUAUGGUCUUACUAAAUCGGUUUAAAACAUCGGUAAUCAUCAUAGAAAAAUCCCAUAUCGGUCAUCCUGCAACUUCUAUGCACGCUGGCCUUGCCUACUAAAUUUCACGUAGACCAAAAUUGCUUGCUGUUGUCGAGUUCAGGUCAGUCCAGGCUUGUUUAUGUUCCACUGGUGGCCGCGUGGACUUUUUUGGGUUUUGCCGAGAAUAGUCACAGGACAACACCCUAAAACCCGAGCGAGAGGCGUGUUUUUCUUUUCUUUUUCGUCUUUACAAAGACUCCCACACGUUCUCAUUCCGCCGAGCGAGCGAGCGAAUUAAGCAAACAUCUGGUUUAGACUAAGUUAACUGCUGCGGUGGCGGCGGCGCAGGCAGAGAGGCGGCCUCUGCUAACCGCCGCUGCCGUCAGAUGUCCCGCAUCGUGUGUUUUUUUUCGGCAGCGGCGGAAAAAAUGAGCGGCGGGCGGGCGCGAGGAAGGGCAGAGUCAGCACACACCAAAGUGUGACGGAGGAGGAGGCUGGAGAGCAAAAAGGGCCAAGGAGGACAAAAAUUGACAUGGCUUUCAUCUCCAUGUGCUAAUGAAGCAACAAGGGAAUAAAUUCAAAGUCUUUUGGACGGUAAAAGGCAAUGUUGUCUUGCAAGGAUACACAAAUUGACGAAAGGCCGAUGAAUGCCCCGUGCUAGAAAUACCGCCCUUCUUAAAAUGGACACUUCAAACCAUAAUGGUGGACUCUACGUGUCUUAUCCUCCAAGGUCUCUUGAGUUGAUCUUUGUGGGUAUCACAGUAGAUAUCACAGUAGAUAUUUUGAUCAAGUUUCAUGUUCCUGAGUCAAAGGGACGCAUUUUUGUUAUCGUUGAGGACACUGCUGAGCCAAAAUGACAGCUUUAAAACCAUGUGGCAGACUUUCUGUCUUUUGGGCAAGGUUUCAUGAGAUUUUUUUUGUGGUUCUCCACGUGAUGGAGUCAAGUCAAAGAAGUUUCAAGAGCUGUUUUUUUUUUUUUUUUUUUUUUGGGGGGGGGGGGGGGGAUCAGUAAGGAAUAUACUGAACCAAAAUGGCAGCUUCAAACCCAGACUUUCUGUGUCUUUAUGGGCAUAGCUUCUUGAGACUUCUUUUUUAUACGUAUACUCAUGGUUCUCAUGUUUCUAAAUCGAACAGGCGUCAUGGGCAAUUUUUUUUCUAAUUGUUGUUUUUGACACUACUUGGCCAAAAUGGCAGUUUCAAAUCCAGAUGACAGACUUCAUGUGUCUUUUUGGGCAUAGCUUCUUGAAUUUUUUGUGGGUCUCCUUCUGAACGACAUUUAUAUAAGUAUCACAGGUCUGAUUUUGGGGGGUGGUGGUUGUUAAGGACUCUUUUGAGCCAAAAUGGCUUCUCAAAACCCAAAUAGCAGACUUCUUGUGUCUUUUUGGGCAAAGGCGGACUGGCAUACUGGGGUACCAGGGAUUUGCCGUGGGGGCGAUGGGCCCGUGGUCAAAUGAGCGAACACUAAAAUUACCGCACAUGUGUAAAUCCCCACUUUGGAAUAAGUUCUGGCCAAGGUCUGUGAAUAUUAGUUGUGGACCUCUCUGACAAAACAAUGCAUUUUUACUCUACCAAAAUUUAGAAAUUUUGAAUUAAAAGUCCGACAUGCAUACCUUGCUCAGGUUACAGUUCACAUUUUGUGGAACUGUAAAUCCACAGUUCUGAGUAAGUUCUGGCCAAGGUUGGUGAAUAUUAGUAGUGGACCUCUCUGUGUUGCCUGCUGGAUGUAUUCAAACACUGUCCAUGAAGUGAGCCGAUCUUUCAAUGACUCCCGAGCCACUCCCCACCCCCAGUCCGCCCCUGUUCUUGGGCAUGGCUUCUUGAGACUUUUUUGUGGGUCUCUUAUUGAUAGAUAUUUCUACAAAGUGUCACAUCUCUAGUGCUGCAAUGAUUCAUCGAUUAACUCGAGUAAUUCGACUAGAGAAAAAGCUUCGAAUCAAAUUUGGUGCUUUAAGUAUUCAUUUAAUUAGAGUGGCGUUGUAAUGGUUUGUUUUUUAAGUGUUUGCAUGUGGUUUUAUUGAUUUGUGUGGAUACAUUUUCCUCUAGUGGCAACAGUGAAUAUGACAUAACUAAUCUAACAUGGCUAGAUCCAGCGGCUUCCUGCUACGACCAACAUGAGGUAAUUUAUGUUUUGUUUUAGCUAAUAUUAUUGUUUGUACAUUCGUAAUUUAGCUUAGAGCACUAUUCUUAACCUUGCUAAAGGCACUGUAUGUGGAUUCAUUGAACCCUUCGGAAUUAGAUCAUAAAGCUAUUGUUUUCAAAUUGCACAAGCAAUAUUUCUAAGCUAGCAAGCUAAUAAUUGACCAAAUUCUUGUUCAAAAUUCUUCCCAUUUUGACAAUAUGUUCUAUAAACAGGUCAAAAUUUGGGACCACUCUGCCCAUUGGUCUGUUGUAUUCCCUCAUACCAAGUGCGAGUCAACCUUCCACUGAGCAAACCAGUUCCUCGUCCCAUCAGAUCCAGGACUGGUUCUUAAAAGAAAUCAAUUAAGCCCGUAAGUUCGGAGAAAACUAGUCCAAAACCUGAUCUAAAAAGCCACUUUGCCUUGUUUUAAUUGGAGUACGAAAAUAGGGCUUUGCGUUAUUUUACCUUCGCCAAACCACUUAGACUUACUCACCGAACCCCUGGGUCGAUCAAACCCAGGUUAAGUAUAUAGGUUAGGUAUAUAUAGCAGUUAUUUGUGGGGAAUAUGUUUUUGAACCAUUUGUUAAGAGCGUUGUUAAAAAAAAACAACAACAAAAAAACGUUAGCAUUUUAUAGCAUUUAAGCUAGCGGACUUUUGCUAUGCAAGUUAGCCAAAUGUUUUGUUAUACUUCGUUACUCAUUUAUUUGUUAUACUUUUAUACCGUUUGAGGCUAAGCUUAGGUAUUUUAAUUUAUUUUCAAAUGCAUUUAUUGCUCUUGUGAAAUGAAAACAAAUUCUGCAUAGUUUCCAAAAUACACUCGGGAAUUUGAAAAUGCAAUCGUAGCAAGUAUUUGUUUUACAUCUCCUAAAAUUUAUUCUGCAACGCAUGAAAUGUUCCCAAUCCGAUUACCAUAUUGGCCCAAAUAUAAGAAGGUGUUUUUUGCAUUGAAAUAACACUGAAAAAGUGGGGGUCGUCUUAUAUUCGCGGUCUAGACAUUAUACCCAUUCAUGGCACUAGAUGGCGCCAGAUAUCAUUGAAGCGAUGUUCUGCCAUGACAGAUCUCAGCUACUCUCAAGUUUAACCAGUUUGCAUUAUUUUAUUGCAAUGUUUUUCCUUAUUCAGAUUUUUUUCAAGACUACAGUUACAGUUAGACUUCACUUUGAUGGUUAAUGCAAUUAUUACAAUUUUGUUGUUUUAUCAUAAUAGACGAAUGUGAUUGCACUUUAGUUUACAUAUUUAAAUGUUCAGAUAUUAAGAUUUGAAUGAGGCAAAAUAACAUGUUUUUUCUCUUAAAUAUAUUGUUAUAAUCAUUUGUUUCAGAUGUACUGUAAUUAUUUUCUGUAUAAAAAUUAAUUUGGUGUUCAAAAAGUCUUUUUUUCAACUUGAGUCUUGAAAAAGAAAGGGUCGUCUUAUAAUCAGGGCCGUCUUAUAUUCGGGCCAAUACGGUACUUGAUUAUUCAAACUAAUUGAGAGAUAAUAGAUUACUUAAAUAAUCGAUAGCUACAUGUCUAACUCAAAUGAGGUUCAAUGGCUGAUAUCUGGGGAUUUUUAAGGACUCUUUUGAGCCAAAAUGGCUACUCCAAACCCAAAAAGCAGACUUCCUGUGUGUUUUUGGGCAUGGUUUUUGAGGCUUUUCAGUCUGAGUGGGUCUACUCAUGCUAGACAUGAAUGCCAAGUUUCAUGUUUCUGAUUCAAACAGGUUUCAAGGACUGAAUUAUUAAUUGUUGACGACACUCCUGAGCCAAAAACCUAAAUAGCAGACUUGCAGUACCAUGACUUUUUUGUGGGUCUUCCUGUGAUGCUUACCAAGUUUCAAGUUUGUAACUCAAAUAGAGACAUGUAUAAAAAGGAAUAGGCGUAGCACAGCUACUGAACUGCAAAAUAUCUCACGUGUAAAAGCUGACGACUGCGAGGGGGAUGGCAAAGAGGGAGGGAGGCAGGCAAGUCUGCGGGUCCAAACCACGGCUCCACGCUCUAUUUUGGACCACCGCAUAAUUGAAACAGUAUUUAUCCAGUUCUCUGUGUGCGUCUGCGCUACAGUUCAUUCAUUGAGCCGUCAUGUCGUGUGUGUGGCAGGCGUGGAGUGUGUAGUUAAGUGGGCGGAGGACUAGGAAGGGAGGCUUCGUGAAUCCUUCUUUGAUGGCUGCAGCUCAAGCCUUAAUAUUCAUAUCGGGAACAACCGCAGCUUCAACGUUUGCUCCCUGAUAUGCUCUUAAUCUUUCAUUAUUCAGGUCAUGUCUUCCUUUCAAGCCAUCUAUGCAGAACAUGUGUGUUUUUCGGAUAUAUGUGGAUUUGUUGUUGUUGUUGUUGUUGUUUUUUAUGCUUUUCUGUGUGUGCGUCAUUAGCUCGUUCACUGCCAUUGACGGUGAUAGACAUCUAAUCUAAGCUGUUGCCAAAUCAGGUUUGCUUGGAUAGUGGCGCGGGACGUUGGGUGCUGAGGGUGCUGCAGCACCCCCUGAUAUUGGGGAGAAAAAAUGAAAUGAAUCAUAUAUACGUUCAAUUUUAUUUAUUUAUUUAUUUAUUUAUUUUUACUAACAUGGUCACCACCUGACAUCUUGUUUGCUACCGGGUCAUGUUGAAUAAAGCACUAUUUGUAAAAAAACAAGGUUUAUUGGACCUUUUAGUUCUCAAAUAUGUUUGUGUCUCAUUGCGCCAUCUAGCUAAGGGGAAUUGCAUUACACGGGCGCUUUUUUUUUU